rnacentral:rRNA from 1 species
AUUUAGGAAAAGGAUCUUAGUUCUACCUUAAGUUUUUAUAAUACCACAACAUCUCUCUAAAACUUAAGAGCUAUUCAAAUAAGGUACAGCCUAUUUGAUACAGGAAACAACCUAAAACACAGGGUAACACACAACAGCACGUGCUUAAGUGGGCCUAAGAGCAGCCAACUUUUAAAAAGCGUUAAAGCUUCACCACGAGCCACUCCAAUACUAAAAUUUUAUAAAAACCCUCAACCAAUACUAAAUAACUCUAUAACCCUAUAGAAAAAAUUAUGCUAAAACUAGUAACAAGAAUUUGCUAUUCUCCUAAAUGUAAGUGUAAGCCAAGAAGAACAAAUCAUUGGCAUUUAACGCCACAGAUUGUUAAGCAGCAACACCCCAAGAAAACCCUGCUUAAAAUUACGUUAACCUAACACCAGAACAUUUCAGGAAAGAUUAAAAGAAGUGGAAGGAACUCGGCAAACUUUAACCCCGCCUGUUUACCAAAAACAUCGCCUUCUGCAAAAAAUAGAAGGUCUAGCCUGCCCAGUGACCAAGUUAAACGGCCGCGGUACCCUAACCGUGCGAAGGUAGCGCAAUCACUUGUUCUUUAAAUGAGGACUAGUAUGAACGGCAUCACGAGGGUUACACUGUCUCCCACCUCUAAUCAGUGAAACUGAUCCCCCCGUGAAGAAGCGGGGAUAAAUUUAUAAGACGAGAAGACCCCAUGGAGCUUUAAACUCAGUACCAAUCACCUACAACCACACCACAACAACCCGGUGACUCUGGCUACUAGUUUUAGGUUGGGGUGACCAUGGAGCAUAAUAAAACCUCCAUGUUGAAAACUUCCUCUAAUCCAAGAGUGACAACUCUAAGAAUCAAAAAUUGACAUACAUUGACCCAAACAUUUUGAUCAACGAACCAAGUUACCCUGGGGAUAACAGCGCAAUCCAUUUCAAGAGCUCCUAUCGACAAAUGGGUUUACGACCUCGAUGUUGGAUCAGGGUAUCCCAGUGGUGCAGCCGCUACUAAAGGUUCGUUUGUUCAACGAUUAAAACCCU